rnacentral:rRNA from 1 species
CCGGGGGGCGACCCCGGGGGCGCGCGUCCCCGCGAGCUCUGAACAACCCUUUGGGCGCGGCGAGCGCCAAGGAAUCGAAGCGGAAAGGGCGGCCGCCCCACCAGGCGCGUGCGCACCCCGGCCGGGGACGCGGCACCGCCGUGGGGAUCCGCCGCCCGCCUGUGAAUCAUUUAGACGACUCUCGGCAACGGAUAUCUCGGCUCUCGCAUCGAUGAAGAACGUAGCGAAAUGCGAUACUUGGUGUGAAUUGCAGAAUCCCGUGAACCAUCGAGUCUUUGAACGCAAGUUGCGCCCGAGGCCACUCGGCCGAGGGCACGCCUGCCUGGGCGUCACGCCACCCAUCGCCACCCCCCCGCGGCAUUCCCAUGCCGCGCCGGGGAGCGGAGACUGGCCGUCCGUGCCCGAGCCCUCGGCGCGCGGUCGGCAGAAAAGGAGGACACCGUGCGGCGAGACACGGCGUGUGGGGGUUGAGAGGCGACUCGUCGCCGAUCGUACGUCGCGCCCGCAUUCCGCCGCGCGCAGUGUCACCCGUGGGACCGGACUCGCCCGCAGCCGCGGGCGCUCGG